UUCAGAUGGUUCAACCCUUAAGUUAGCGCUUAUGGGAUUUCUCCCCCCUCUGAUGAGUUGUUAGUAAGUCGGGAAACUUAACAGUAACAACACAACCAGUAUGAUGACGAACUUCAUCAUAACCCUUUCCUUAUA
rnacentral:sRNA from 1 species